rnacentral:rRNA from 1 species
GCUGGAGCCUAAGCGAAAGCAAGUCUGAAUAGGGCAUGUGUCACCUUCUAUGGACCCGAACCCGAGUGAUCUAACCAUGGCCAAGAUGAAACCUGGGUAACACCAGAUGGAGGUCUGAACUGACUGAUGUUGAAAAAUCAGCGGAUGAGUUGUGGUUAGGGGUGAAAUUCCAGUCGAACUCGGAGCUAGCUGGAUCUCCUCGAAAUGUGUUGAGGCGCAGCGGUUGAUAAUGGCGUGUUUAGGGGUAAAGCACUGUUUCGGUGCGGGCUGCGAAAGCGGUACCAAAUCGUGGCAAACUAAGAAUACUAAACACCCGUUUCUAUCAACCAGUAAGACAGUGGGGGAUAAGCUUCAUUGUCAAAAGGGAAACAGCCCAGAUCACCAGCUAAGGCCCCAAAGUGGUUGCUAAGUGAUAAAGGAAGUGAACAUGCAAAGACAACCAGGAAAUUCGCUUAGAAGCAGCUAUUUUUUAAAGAGUGCGUAAUAGCUCACUGGUAGAGCAGGUUCGCGCCGAAAAUGAACGGGGCUAAGUAAUCCGCCGAAGCUGUGGGAUUCCAACGAUGCAUUAUUGGUAUAAAACCAAACGCAAUAAAUCGGUAGAGGAGCGUUCCGCUUUAGGGUGAAGCUAACACGUGAGUGGUGGUGGACGAAGCGGAAGUGAGAAUGUCGGCUUGAGUAACGAAAACAGUUUUGGUGAGAAUCCACUGCCCCGAAAACCUAAGGGUUCCUUUACAAGGCUCGUCCAUGGAGGGUUAGUCAGGUCCUAAGGCCAGGUCGAAAGGCGUAGUCGAUGGCAAACAGGUUAAUAUUCCUGUACUUAUUUUUUGUUGAUUCCGGGGGACGGAGUGGGAUAGUAGGUCAUUUUUCUACACGGAGUUCUUUAUGGGCUUGGUGUAGAGAGAAAAAUUUGAUUGAUUUCAUUUUGCUUGAAACGGAAGAAAAACCGUUUUAUAGGCCCGAGCAAAAAGUUGAUCUUUUUGAUCUUCUUUUCUGUAAGGAUGACUUCUCCGUCAUUGACGGCCAAAUCCAACUUCCUAGAAAAGCCCAGACCAUCGAUAACUUAAAAUAACCUGUACCCUAAACCGACACAGGUAGGUAGGUAGAGAAUACUAAGGGGCGCGAGAUAACUCUCUCUAAGGAACUCGGCAAAAUGGCCCCGUAACUUCGGGAGAAGGGGUGCUAGUAUUUACUAGUUGCAGUGACCAGGCCCAGGCGACUGUUUAUCAAAAACACAGGUCUCCGCAAAGUCGAAAGACAACGUAUGGGGGCUGACGCCUGCCCAGUGCCGGAAGGUAAAAGAAGUUGGUUAUUAUUCUUCGGAAUGAGAAGCUGACGACUGAAGCCCCGGUGAACGGCGGCUGUAACUCUGACAGUCCUAAGGUAGCGAAAUUCCUUGCCAAGUAAGUUUUGGCCCGCACGAAAGGCGUAACGAUCUGGGCACUGUCUCGGAGAGAGACUCGGUGAAAUAGACAUGUCUGUGAAGAUGCGGACUACUUAUACCAGGACAGAAAGACCCUAUGAAGCUUGACUGUAAUUUGGGAUUGAAUUCGGGCUUUUUUUGCGCAGUAUAGGUGGGAGGCGUAGAGGGUUGGUUUUCGGACCAAUCGGAGCCAUCAGUGAGAUACCACUCUGAAAGAGCUAGGAUUCUAAUAGGAGACCUUGAAUCAGGAUCCUUGACAGUUUCAGAUGGACAGUUUGUUUGGGGCGAAUUUCUCCUAAAAGGUAACGGAGAAGUGCAAAGGUCCCUUCAAGUUGGACGGAAAUCAACUGUAGAGUGCAAAGGUAGAAGGGGGCUUAACUGCAAGACCAACAAGUCAAGCAGGAGCGAAAGCUGGCCUUAGUGAUCCGACGGUACCGAGUGGAAGGGCCGUCGCUCAACGGAUAAAAGUUACUCUAGGGAUAACAGGCUAAUCUCCCCCAAGAGUUCACAUCGACGGGGAGGUUUGGCACCUCGAUGUCGGCUUAUCGCAACCUGGGGCUGUAGUAGGUCCCAAGGGUUGGGCUGUCGCCCAUGAAAGC